rnacentral:rRNA from 1 species
AUUGAACGCUGGCGGCAGGCCUAACACAUGCAAGUCGAGCGGAGCGGCGGACGGGUGAGUAAUGCCUAGGAAUCUGCCUGGUAGUGGGGGAUAACGUCCGGAAACGGGCGCUAAUACCGCAUACUAUCAGAUGAGCCUAGGUCGGAUUAGCUAGUUGGUGGGGUAAAGGCCUACCAAGGCGACGAUCCGUAACUGGUCUGAGAGGAUGAUCAGUCACAGUGGAUCAGAGACACAGUCCAGACUCCUACUGGAAGCAGCGGUGGGGAAGAUUGGAAAAUGGACGAGGGCCUGAUCCAGCCAUGCCGCGUGUGUUAAGAAUGUCUUCGGAUUAUGAAGCACUUUAAGUUGAGAGACGUUACCAACAGAAUAAGCACCGGAGAACUUCGUGCCAGCAGCCGCGGUAAUA